ACCUGGCUUUUUGGUGGUGUUUGAUUGUGAUUUCUGAGGAACUAGAUGAUAAAGAAGAAGAGAAAGAUGAAUCCUUUCCCGACAAUGAUUGGAGGCCAAUGGUGGUGUUGGGUUUCAAAGGGGACUUGAUCCUUUUAAAUAGAGAUGGAGGGAAGGAGUCCAACUCUUCUUUGGCUUCUAUUUCCGCCUGAAAAUCGGGAGGAAGAAGACUUUUGAUCGGGGUUCUUCAU
rnacentral:lncRNA from 1 species